AAAAAAAUCACGUCUUCCUUUUCUCUCUCUAAAAUUAGCUCCACCUUCUCUUCUUGUAUUUCCAAAUCUUGCACGAGCCCAAAAAAGGAGUAUCCAAAUCCCUACAAACAUAGCAUGGUUAGGGUUUCUAUCUCUCUCUAAAAUCUCUGCUCCACCAUCUCUUCUGGCCUUUCCAAAUCUUGCCCGAGCCCAAAAAAGGAGUACCCAAAUUUCGUCAAACAUAGCAUGAUUAGGGUUUCUUUCUCUCUCUAAAAUCAGCUCCACCAUCUCUUCUUGCCUUUCCAAAUCUUGCCCGAGCCCUAAAAAUGAGUACCCAAAUCUCUACCAACAGUGCAUAUAUGGUUAGGAUUUCUUUCUCUCUCUAAAAUCUCUAAAAUCAGCUCCACCAACUCUUCUUGCCUUCCUAAAUCUUGCCCGAACCUUAGGGUUUCUUUCUCUUUAUAAAAACAGUUAUCCUAAAUUUUGCUCAAUCCUAGUUAGGGUUUCUUUCUCUUUCCAAAUACAAAGAAACGAAGUCCCAAUUGUUGCCCUACCCAAGCCCUG
rnacentral:lncRNA from 1 species